rnacentral:rRNA from 1 species
CCUACGGGGGGCAGCAGUGGGGAAUAUUGCGCAAUGGGCGAAAGCCUGACGCAGCGACGCCGCGUGAGGGAUGAAGGUCUUCGGAUCGUAAACCUCUGUCAGCAGGGAAGAACGGUCACUGUGCUAAUCAGCAGUGAAUUGACGGUACCUGCAAAGGAAGCACCGGCUAACUCCGUGCCAGCAGCCGCGGUAAUAUUGAGGGUGCGCGCGUUAAUCGGAAUUACUGGGCGUAAAGCGCUCGUAGGCGGUAUGUCAAGUCAAGGGUGAAAUCCCCGGGCUCAACGUGGGAACUGCCUUUGAAACUGGCAAACUUGAGGGUGUGAGAGGAUAGUGGAAUGCCAGGUGUAGGAGUGAAAUCCGUAGAUAUCUGGAGGAACACCAGUGGCGAAGGCGACUAUCUGGCACAUAACUGACGCUGAGGAGCGAAAGCGUGGGUAGCAAACAGGAUUAGAUACCCGAGUAGUC